rnacentral:rRNA from 1 species
GAUGAACGCUGGCGGCGUGCUUAACACAUGCCAGUCGAACGAAGCACUUUAUUUGAUUUCCUUCGGGACUGAUUAUUUUGUGACUGAGUGGCGGACGGGUGAGUAACGCGUGGGUAACCUGCCUUGUACAGGGGGAUAACAGUUGGAAACGGCUGCUAAUACCGCAUAAGCGCACAGCAUCGCAUGAUGCAGUGUGAAAAACUCCGGUGGUAUAAGAUGGACCCGCGUUGGAUUAGCUAGUUGGUGAGGUAACGGCCCACCAAGGCGACGAUCCAUAGCCGACCUGAGAGGGUGACCGGCCACAUUGGGACUGAGACACGGCCCAAACUCCUACGGGAGGCAGCAGUGGGGAAUAUUGCACAAUGGGCGAAAGCCUGAUGCAGCGACGCCGCGUGAGCGAAGAAGUAUUUCGGUAUGUAAAGCUCUAUCAGCAGGGAAGAUAAUGACGGUACCUGACUAAGAUGCACCGGCUAAAUACGUG